GACAGGGGUGGGGGCAACUUUUGGUGACCAUUCCCGUGUAUCCCCAUUUACACUUUCUGCUUUUGGAAUUAAAUAAAAACCAAUAAUUUGAAAAAAAAAGGUGUCCUGAAAACAAAACAUUGGCAUUCAGUUCUGGCUAGACACCAUUUCCUCCUGAAGACUGAGUCUGGGGCCCCUCUCCACAAAGAGGAUUAGCGAGCAGAGGGAGGAGGUCAGGGAACUCUGGGCUGAGACCCUCUCUUUGAUGUGAUAAAAGGACUGAAACGUAGUCAGAGACCCUCUUUCCCACACUGUUAUUCAUGCUGCCUCUCCGCCUUAGUCGUCCUCUCUCCUAGGUCUGCGCAUCCUAGCCCUGACUCCAGGAACUGAACAGGCUCCCAGAGGUCAGAACCGAAAACAGCCCUAGAGGCCUCCAACCAAAUAUUCCUGACCUGGAUCGUGCAUCCUCAAAGGGCCCUAAGCAGAAACUGAGGUUCGGAAAGGAGUGGCUUCUCCAAGGACGUGCAGCUUGUGCCUACCAGCGGCAUCAGACCCGCGGCUCUUGGCAUCUCUCAGCAAACUCUCGUUGGACGCAUUAGCCAUCAGGAGGGUUCUAGAUCUCUGAGCUGGAGAAAAGAACCUGCAUGGACCCAUUUUGUCUACACUCUGCCUCAGAGAAGUAACUGGAGCAGUGAUUUUGAGAGCAAUCCAUGCAUUUUCAAGAAGGAAGGCACAGAGACAGGGGUGACCAGUGCUGUCUAAACAGCAUGACGUCGAGGCUAGGAAUCCCAACUUUGCCAUCAGACACAUUUUGGUUUGAACCUGGUCGCCGCUACUUUCUGGUGUGAUCCCGGAGACGUCACCUACCCUCGUGUGUAGGGAGAGAUGGUAAAUGCUCCUGGUCAGAGGGCUGCUCUGAAGACUCAACAGGACAACAAUGUGAAAAGGGUGGCACCGUGCCUGGCACACAGGUCUGGUUGCUGAGCUGUGAAAGGCCUCAUGGAGAGGGGGCUUCUGAAAAUUUCCGUCUCCCCGCCUCCAGGUGCCCAGCAGUCCAGCCCUGACCAAGUUAUUCUUGGCAAACGCGAGCCGUCUCAGCGUCCUCGGGGCACGGAGCCUCCGGCCACUGAGGUGCUAUAAUCUGUGCUGGUGCAACUCUGUCCACAGCGGGCAUUUGACAGAGAGCUUUUCAGCCUUUUAUUUCCAGGUGAACCGGUUGGUGGCGGUCAUCCAGGGUCUGCUUGAACUCCUUGGAUGGUGACCUGCGCAUGCCGGGAGAAACUUUGGUAACGACUUAUAUGCACCUGGUUUGGGUCAGAAUUAAACAGCCACGCUGAACACCGUGUCCUUGUGGAAUGACAAAUUGAUAUGCUUAAAAGAUGCCUGUGGACAACUGGUUGAGAUCCCGAUCGAGGUUCGUCGUUCUUUACAACGAGACGAAGGCAUGGACUCGGAUGGUUCAACCAUCUAGUGAGCUUUGUCUGUUCUAUUUAUAAUGAGAGUGUAACAGUACUAACGUAUUUCAUUGAGUCCAAGAUGCAGCCCCUCCCGCAGACACACACAUUCUUAGCAGCUGUGUAAUUCGGAUGUCUUAUGCUCAGUGUCUUAUUGUCAUUGACACAAGGUCAUGACAGGGUUGUCAUCGCCUGACACCUUCUGUCAGAAUCGCAGCGCAGCACCCUUGAAAGAAAUGCUUCCUCGUCAAUGCUGUUGAUGGCCUAGGGGUGACUUUGUGUUGAAAAAUAUGAACACUGACAACACUGAGUUGAAAAUCACUAAGAAGAUUUGGACUCUGUGAAGAAAUUUUAAGAAUAGCUUAACCAAUUUUUUUCACUUAUAUUUUCCUCUUUAGAUGUGCCCAAGGGUGACAUGAUCUGUCUAAAUAAGUGGCUAAGUACUUUCGAUAAGUCUAAAAUAAAAAUGUUAAGAGAGAAGAAAGCAUUGAAUCAUAGUCGAAUGGGCACCAUUUUUUUCUGAGUGGUGCAUCAAACACCGGUGCUUCCUACAACUGAGGGCAUCUUACGUGCAGUGAGAUGCAGUGACAGCUAGAGUAACACUGAUAGCACUUCCUGCCUGCCAGGCAUUAGCACUUCAUGCACAUUAACUCAUUCAAAUCCUCGUAAUUGUUAGCCCCAUUUUACAGAUAAGGAAACUGAGGCACUUGGAAGAUAAAGUCACACAGCCAGAGAUUGGUAGAGGUGGGUGGGGUUCCAAGGCCAGCAGUCAGCUCCAGGGUCCAGGCUCAGACACAUUACUACAGGAUCUUACUUAGAAGCGUGUAAACUGGCCAUGUGUCAGAUGAAACUGGUGAGGAAUUUUUAACCAGAUUUGUAUUUUAUGGAGCAUAGUGAUAAUUAGGAAGAACAUGUUCAAACACUUUGGAAAGACAAGGUCAAUUCUGUGACAGGCAAAGGGCCACAGAGGUUGCCGACGUCAAGGUUAUUUCUCAUCCUGAACUCCCCCCGGCAGGCCCUGCCUCAUUUUACCAGGAGCACCUCACAUCAGAAAGUUUCUCGUGGCUUCUCAUUGCAUUCAGUGGAGCAUUGAAAAGAGUAGAAAUAAAAGUCCUUUGGCUACAGUCUUUUUCCUAGCUUCACACUGAAAUGGGGAGUCACUUUAAUGAUGAUUUUUAUAAAGAUGCUGCUGCCUUUGUCAGGAGAUGAGGCAGUCCCAGUGUUCAGGGAGUGAAUUAUGGUCAAAUUAAUACUCUUCAAGAAGGAUUAAGUAGACAUUGGGACAAAGGAUAAAAAUGUAGAUUCAGUUUGACCUAAUGGCAAAACCUACCUCCCAAAUUUCCCUUUUCAGUCGAUUUUUUUUUGUCUGAGUUAGUGCAAAUUUUAUUUUAUUGCCGUUACCGCACUUGUCGAGAUUGAUACGAUGACAAUGCAAUUUGAGAUACGAGUGAGUGGAGUUGAUCAUGGAGACUGAAUCUGUGGAGAAUUAGUUCAUUUACAAGUGACAGCAUGUACAUUUGGUGAUGAAACAGGAACGAAAGAAUCAAUCAUCUUUGUUCGUGGAAAAUUUCCCUUGAAACUGUUUUUCAAGGCAACAACAACAAAAAGAGACUAGACCAGAGACCCUUAAAGCCCCCUGUCUGACUCAAGCUUCUUGUUCUCUCAGCAAGAGGAAAUUUAGGAAAACCAGGCUGACCUGAUCCGCUUCAGAAUAGACCCUCAAACCCCCAGGGUUGAGCACUCGUUUUCAUCUGCUCUGAGGAUGCUGAUGUGGAAAAGUUCAAGAAGCUCCACGUUACAAAGAACCCCUUGAGUCCCACGGCCAUUUGUCAUUAAGCAGAAAAAUACACCCCUGUGUAUUUUUCUUCCUUGUUCCUUGUGUCCUGGGCUGCCUUCCAUUGCCGUCCAUCCAGGACCACAUCUGCCCAUGGGUGGGCAGAACCUUCGGAGCUGAGGGCUCCCUUAGCAGAAUGUUCCCUGUAGUUUUAGCCCAGGAGGCCCAUGUCAUGUGGUUUUCAAGGCCAAAUUAGAGACCACCCUAGAAUAUUGAGGCCGAAAUGGAAGCUUUUCCUCUGCUCCGUCCCAUCUGGGUUUUGGUGUGGAAGGGAGUUAGAGCUGUGAUGGGCUCCAUUUGGGAGCCCAGUGAAAUAAGAGCACUUUGAAAAACCAACAGGGUCCACACCUAAGCUAUAUAGAGAAUGGAAUCUUUGCAAAUCUUUGAAUAAAGUUUUCCCUACUGUAUUAGGCUUUUGAAAAAAUAGAACAAGUUUUCAAGCAUUUUAAUAUUCAUUCAUUCAUUCAACAAUAUUUUUGAGCCACUCUAGGCAUGGGGAAUACAGUAGCAAGUAAAAUAAAUAAAAACCUCUGUCCUCAUGGAGCUCACAUGCUAAAGUGGGGGGAGAGAGAAUUUUUUAAUGAUUAAAAUGUCUAGAAUAUCUGAUAGUGAUCAGUGCUGUAAAGAAAAAUAAGGGAAGCGGGAUGGGACUAUGUGUGUGUUAAUGGGUCGGUUGAGAUAUUAAGUAGGAUGAUCAAAUACCACCACACAAGUGACGUUUAAGUAAACGAAUGAAGGAUUUGGAUCUGUUGUUUUGAAGGUACAGCCUGUUGGGUUGCCUGAUGGAUUGGAUAUAGGGUGCGAGAGAGGGAGAGAAAUUGGGGAUGAUUCCAAGUUCUGAAAGGCGUCUUAUGACAUGGCUCCCAAUGAUCCCACCACCUGAUAUUCCUGUCUGUGUAGUUCCCUUCCUCUUGAGUCUGGGCUGGACCCAGUAACUUGAUUCUAAUGACUAGAGUAUGGCAAAGUUGAUGGGAUGUCACUUCUGUGAUUAGGUUACAAAAGAUUGUAACUUCCUCUCGCUAGCAGAUUCUCUCUAUUGUCCUCUCAGCUUGCACGCUUCAGUGAAGCAAGCUGCCUUAUUGGAGAGGUCCACACGGCAAGGAUCUGAGGGCAGCGCCUGGCCAACAGCCAACAAGGACUGAAGCCCUCAGUUCAACAACCCAUGAAGAACCAAAUCCUGCCAACAACCACAUGGGCUUGGAGAGGGUCCUUCCCCACUUGAGCUUUGAGAUGAGAUUGCAGCCCCCCGACAUUGUGAUUGCCACCUAUGAGAGACCCUGCAGCAGAGGGCUCCUCUAAGCCAUGUCCAGAUUCCUCACCUAUAGAAACUGGGAGAUAUACAUAGUAUUUUAAGCUGUGAAGUUUGGGAAUAGUAGGUUAUGCAGCAAUACAUAACUAACAUACAAGAUUUUGGGUCUGGGCAACUGGAAGAAUAAAAUUGCCACUUAUCAUAUCAUAAGACGAGUGUAGAUAGAAGGAUUUUUUGGUGAGAGAAUAGCAACUUUGGUUUUGCAUAUGUACAAUACACGCAUAUUUCUAUUUCUGUGAUAGUGUUUCUCAUGAAUUUUUCAAAUGGUGGUUAAGCUACCAAUAUAUUCGAUUUAAAUGCUCUCUCAUGAACCACUUUGAAAAAUGUUAAUGCAUCUUCAGAAAUCAGAUUCUAUAAUAACUUCAGUCACAAUUAAUUCCAGAAACUGAGAAUAUCAAAUACAGUACUAACCCAUUAAUUCUGAUGUCUCGCCUUUUGUUGUUGUUAGCGUUGUCCAGUUGAUUCCGACUCCUAGUGACCCCGUGCACAGCAGAGUGGAACCCUGCCCAGAGUUUUUGCCUCCUCCUCGCACCUUCCAGCACUAUAUCAGACAAUGCUCUGCUGCUAUUCAUAGGGUUUUCAUGGCCA
rnacentral:lncRNA from 1 species